UACGGGGGGGGGCAAGCGUUGUUCGGAUUUACUGGGCGUAAAGGGCGCGUAGGCGGCCUGUGCAAGUCAGUUGUGAAAUCUCCGGGCUUAACUCGGAACGGUCAACUGAUACUGCUCGGCUAGAGUGCGGAAGGGGCAACUGGAAUUCUUGGUGUAGCGGUGAAAUGCGUAGAUAUCAAGAGGAACACCUGCGGCGAAGGCGGGUUGCUGGGCCGACACUGACGCUGAUGCGCGAAAGCUAGGGGAGCGAACGGG
rnacentral:rRNA from 1 species